AUAUAUAUAGUAAUGAGGUUUGUAUAAGUCUCAUCACGGAACCGCACAAUAAUUCGCUUUGACAUAUCUAACAACUGAUCAUGGAGAUUAGAAAACCUCAGACGUUAAACUAGAAAUGUCGCGGCAUUGAUAUUGUAUGUCUACUGCGGUACUGCCAACUAAUCAGCUUUGGAAAUGUUAGACUCAGACAAAGGGGUAACUCAGAGCAAGCAAAACAUGAGUGAAGACUGAAGAGGAAAGUUUCUAUUUCUGAGGCAAACAAGAAACCGUGAUUAGUUUACGUCAUAACAGGACACUAAACAAACUGAAUAACGAGUUCAAAAUGCAAAAAGUAAUACAAUCAGUGAUGGAAAAGUCUUUGUGCAAAAUUCAGGAUUCAGAAACAAGAGAGUAUUAAACAGGAAACAGAAGCCAUCCUUUUCCAGCAGAAAAAUCUCAAACUCAUUUCAAGUUAUCAGAUACCAAAAUUCACAUAGUAAAAAACAGAGAACAAAGCACUGCAUGGAACAUACACUUACCAGUUACCAACAAACUGAACAUAAUUAGUAAAGUGAGAAGAAAGGAGAAAAUGUGAUCGAGGAAUACAAAUAGGACAUGCAAUCAUGCAGAUGCACUCACAUACCCACCCACUCAUCAUGUAUCAUCAUUGCCAACAUUUGGAUAUGUGGAUCAAACGGCAUCAAUAGGAGAAAAUUUUCAAGCUGAUGCAAGCAACAAUAUUUGUCUCCCAUAAACAUGAACAACUCAAACACUUUUUUGCUUCUUCCAUUACGACAUCAUCCACAUAUAAUAAAGUUUCAUAGAAUAAGCAUUUGGAAUACAUGUCAACCAUUCCAUAUCACCACGUAUAACAACAUCAACAUCAUAGCCAUUUCUGAUCAGGAAUCGGUUGGAGCACAACUAGCUAGGAGCGUUGCCUCAAGUUGCAUCCCUUCAAAGAAAGAUAGUGAUUGUUCACUCCGGCCAACUCAUGAUGUUUAAUUUAGGUCAAAAGGAUAUCUCCGGUAGCACAUGAGCAAGGAGAGAGGAGAGCAACUGGCAGAACUGAUGUUUGAGUUAGGUCAAAAGGCUUCCGGCAAAGGAAUGUACGGACGAGCUAUAGAGUUGUCUUGAAGGAGCUCUUACUAUUAUCCCAAGGAUAACGCUAUUUGGUGGUGAGGCUGGUUGAAAACACCAUUUAGCAACCAGAGAAGAGACACCCUAGUCCUGGCAUUCGUCGUCAAGCUUACGAGCUUAGGUAUAUCUUGCAAGCUCCUAAGCUCAAGAUCUCUCAUGGCUCAGGAGGAAAUGUUUACUAUACCCAUGACUGGUUCAAGUUAUGACAGCUAUGCAGUGACAAGGACAGGCGUAUGAAUGAUCCAACUACGAAUCAGCUUAACUCAAGUAAAGACUUUCUUGCAGAACUCUUGGUUUGGCGACCACCACCGGUCGUUAUGGAGAAGAAGCGGAUCUUUGGCUAUCUUUAACACUUGUGGUUCGGUUUGGUUUUGGAGCAGCACUUUUGCUACAAAGAUAAGCGAAAGAGAUUAUGGUCUGGUAACGUUUCUUCUCUCUCUCAGUUGUCUUGUAAAUUAUACUUGAGUUUUUGUAUAAAUUCUGUAAGGAGACGACGAGAUCAUAUUUCAUUGUAGAAAAAGCUAUAUGGCAUCUGAUAUUAUAUUAUAUCACUUUGUUGUUCUUUUUUUUUUGGCAUCCAUAUUAUAUCACUUUGUUCUUUAUUAGUAUUGUAAUUAUGUUACUGGAAAAAAAAUCGGAGUUAUGAGAUUUGGAAGAUCAAGAAGCUGCUUCUAACGAUAUCUGAGAAGAAGAUGUCCAAAAGAUUGCGUUUUCUCACCUUAUUUCCCUCCAAACAAUCCUGAAAAAUUUGCUUGUGUCCACAGAAUCUAUGGUGCUGGAAAUGUUUCCAAAAUGCUUCAGCAACUUCCUGUUCAG